rnacentral:rRNA from 1 species
UUAAUUAAAAAAUUUAAUAAUUUGAAUACUUUAAGGGAUAAGCCUUUAAGUAAAUUAUUAAAAAUUAAUAAUUGUUGAUAUAAAAUGUAUGCUUAGAAUUAGUAAUCAUUAAUAAGUUUGUUAUAAAUUAUUUUAUGGGUUAUAUUAUUUAUUUUGUUUUAAUUUUUUUAUAAAAAUUUUUUUAUUAAUAGGAUAUAAAAAGAAAUAAUGGUAGAAUUAGUAUAUUUUGUUGUGUUAAUAAAUAUGUGUGAUAAGUUUAUAUAAAGAACUCGGCAAAUUUUUUACCCGCCUGUUUAACAAAAACAUGUCUUUUUGAGUUAUUUUUAAAGUCUGACCUGCCCACUGAGUUUUAAAUGGCCGCAGUAUUUUAACUGUGCAAAGGUAGCAUAAUCA